rnacentral:misc_RNA from 1 species
UGUUGACUUAGCAUCAGGUGGUAUUUGAAUUUCCAUAUUAUCUUAUACUUAAAUGGGUACAAUGAUAGUUUGUAAUUUCAAAUACCACCUGAUGCUAAGUCAACAAACCAAACAAAAUCUUGUGGGCCAACAGGCUUCCAAAAAUUAACACUUCAAAUUAGGCAAACAUACUUCAAUUGUUCUCUACUCUACCUUCACUCAUCAUCAUCUUGAAAUGUUGUCUUCUUCCCUGUGGCGGCUGCAGUCACCCUAGGCUUAUUGGGUGUUGCACGUCCUCUGCCACGACCACCACCUCUACCCCCAAAACGGCCACCACCAUCUCUACCACCACUCCU